AAAGAUAGAGGUGCGGCAUUUAUAAGUACCAAGCGUGAAACUGCCCAAGUUUAUGAUCGUUUGCAAAAGGAACUGUCGCCGAAGAGUUUGAAAGUGGGUCAUUUCAACUCUGGGUGCUGAGAGAAUAUCUCUGCAACUGUCAUCAUGCAUGUAUGAUGUUGCGCUAUCUGU
rnacentral:ncRNA from 1 species